rnacentral:rRNA from 1 species
UACGUAGGUGGCAAGCGUUGUCCGGAUUUACUGGGCGUAAAGAGCGCGCAGGCGGCCAAGUCAGUCGAAUGUGAAAGCCCCCGGCUCAACUGGGGAGGGUCACGCGAUACUGAUCGACUCGAAGGCAGGAGAGGGUAGUGGAAUUCCCGGUGUAGUGGUGAAAUGCGUAGAUAUCGGGAGGAACACCAGUGGCGAAGGCGACUACCUGGCCUGUUCUUGACGCUGAGGCGCGAAAGCUAGGGGAGCAAACGGG